rfam:Schistosoma mansoni strain Puerto Rico chromosome 1, complete genome
AUCCAGCGGACGAGUUCUAAAUAGGACGAAAUGCACGUUCUGGAU